UACUCUGUUAGGAGAGGAUGGUAAAAUUACAAUUAUUUUCCAGCACUCAUCUGUGUGUCUACACUGACCCAAUGGGUACUACUGGGAGAAUCUGAAAGAACGGCAUCAUGUGGAAUGGCCAAAAGAACAGUACGUCAGCCCGUCUAGAAGGAAAACAUUUUAAACAAAUAUUUCCCAACAACCUGCUGAGAUUCCUGCUGCAUGGUAAGUAAUACUGAACCACAUCAACUGGAUUUUGAAGGCAUCCUCUGCUGGCGACCUGUGCACAGCUGCAUCUCUAGAAUAGCUUCAUGUCCAAGGCGGUAAUAUCCGUCAGGUAUUAAACAUGCAAAGCUUGUGUGUUGCAUACCUCCCACCUGCUGCAAAGGUACAGUGACUUAGUGUCCAGUUAAAAUUUUAAGACAAUCCAUACUCAGCAUUAGGGAAGAAGAUAUUAUAUAAGCUUGAUAUCGGCAAGACUUGGGAUUAGGGAAAGAAAAAAAUCAUUUCAAAUUGAAGAUUAGGAGGCUUGGUUACACUAUGACUCCAGCGAUAUUGGUCAUACAUCUAUACAAUUGCUUUUUGUAAUAGUUCACCAUGAACACAAACCUAUUUAUGGCCUACUGUCAUGGUGAUGUAUCUCUUUUCUCCGAGUUGUUUAGAAUCCCAAUACUGUGAAAAGGAAUCGUGGUGACAAAAAAAAUAAUACUUCAUAUAAUGAAAUGUCAAGAAAUUUAAGUUAAAGUAAGGUAACGAGACAUAGGUUUGAGGUAUAAAACAUGAUCUAUGCUUAUAAUCCAAGCAGAAAUGGACAGUGGAGCAUCAUUAGAACAUCUGGAUCAUUUUAGAAACUGAUUAUGUUUGCCAUCAAGGACCAGGUUGAAAUCUCAUUUUUCUUACCUAUUUUAUUAUAGCGCUGGUAAAGAAAUAGAAGGAGCAGGUGCUCACAACAUCUGAAAAAAG
rnacentral:lncRNA from 1 species